rnacentral:sRNA from 1 species
CGAAAGCCUGACGGAGCAAUACCGCGUGAGGGAGGAAGGCUCUAGGGUUGUAAACCUCUUUUCUCAGGGAAGAACAAAAUGACGGUACCUGAGGAAUAAGCAUCGGCUAACUCCGUGCCAGCAGCCGCGGUAAUACGGAGGAUGCCCAAGUUCGCGGUUAUCCGGAUUUAUUGGGCGUAAAGCGUCCGCAGGUGGCAGUUCAAGUCUGCUGUCAAAGGUCGGGGCUCAACCCCGAACAGGCAGUGGAAACUGAACAGCUAGAGUACGGUAGGGGCAGAGGGAAUUCCCAGUGUAGCGGUGAAAUGCGUAGAGAUUGGGAAGAACACCGGUGGCGAAAGCGCUCUGCUAGGCCGAAACUGACACUCAUGGACGAAAGCUAGGGGAGCGAAUGGGAUUAGAUACCCCAGUAGUCCUAGCCGUAAACGAUGGAUACUAGGCGUUGUGAGUAUCGACCCUCACAGUGUCGUAGCUAACGCGUUAAGUAUCCCGCCUGGGGACGCUACGGGCGCAAGCGUGAAACUCAAAGGAAUUGACGGGGGCCCGCACAAGCGGUGGAGUAUGUGGUUUAAUUCGAUGCAACGCGAAGAACCUUACCAGGACUUGACAUGUCGCGAAUUUCAGGGAAACUUGAGAGUGCCUUCGGGAGCGCGAACACAGGUGGUGCAUGGCUGUCGUCAGCUCGUGUCGUGAGAUGUUGGGUUAAGUCCCGCAACGAGCGCAACCCUCGUUUUUGAGCUCGAUGCCAGCAUUAAGUUGGGCACUCUAGAGAGACUGCCGGUGACAAACCGGAGGAAGGUGGGGAUGACGUCAAGUCAGCAUGCCCCUUACGUCCUGGGCUACACACGUACUACAAUGCUACGGACAAAGGGCAGCAAGUUAGCGAUGACAAGCAAAUCCCAUAAACCGUGGCUCAGUUCAGAUUGCAGGCUGCAACUCGCCUGCAUGAAGGUGGAAUCGCUAGUAAUCGCAGGUCAGCAAUACUGCGGUGAAUACGUUCCCGGGCCUUGUACACACCGCCCGUCACACCAUGGAAGCUGGCUUAGCCCGAAGUCGUUACCCUAACCCGCAAGGGAGGGGGAUGCCGAAGGCAGGGCUGGUGACUGGGGUGAAGUCGUAACAAGGUAGCCGUACCGGAAGGUGUGGCUGGAUCACCUCCUUUUAAGGGAGACCGAACCAAUCUGGAACCGAGAAAUACUAAAUAGGUACAGAUUAGGUCAUUCCUAGGUCGAGCGAAGAAAUAGAGUGUGGCUUUCAAACUAUGAGUGGUUUAGGUAAUUGGGGCUAUUAGCUCAGGUGGUUAGAGCGCACCCCUGAUAAGGGUGAGGUCCCUGGUUCGAGUCCAGGAUGGCCCACCUAAAAAGUGGGGGUAUAGCUCAGUUGGUAGAGCGCUGCCUUUGCAAGGCAGAUGUCAGCGGUUCGAGUCCGCUUACCUCCACCUUAGAAGUUGUAAAAGUGAUAAAAUAAACAAAGACGGAAAAUUCAGCACCAUGAAGUGGCAAUGGCGCUUUAGGAUGCUGGAGUUUAUUCCAGUGCAUCGAACCUUGAAAACUGCAUAGUAACGCGUGGAACUAGACGGUGUGGAAUGUCGGUUAAGGCAUUUGAACUCGUCUAACGAACCAAAGAAAGUGGUCAAGCUAAUUAGGGCUUACGGUGGAUACCUAGGCACACAGAGGCGAAGAAGGACGUGGCGACCGACGAAACACUCCGGGGAGCUGGAAGCAAGCAUUGAGCCGGAGAUAUCCGAAUGGGGCAACCCCAAGUACAGUCUGUUGAAUACAUAGGCAGGCAUGAGCCAACCCAGCGAACUGAAACAUCUUAGUAGCUGGAGGAAGAGAAAGAAAAAUCGAUUCCCUUAGUAGCGGCGAGCGAAGCGGGAAGAGCCUAAACCAGUUGUUUUUACAACUGGGGUUGUGGGACAGCAUCAUGGAAUACCUGAAGCUAGACGAAGCAGUAGGGAUACUGCACCAGAGAAGGUGAAAGUCCUGUAGUCGAAAGUGGAAGGAUACUAGCUGAAUCCCGAGUAGCACGGGGCACGUGGAAUCCCGUGUGAAUCCGCGAGAACCAUCUCGUUAAGGCUAAAUACUACUGUGUGACCGAUUUUGACCCAUUGCCCGCUGAGGGAAAGGUGAAAAGAACCCCGGAAGGGGAGUGAAAUAGAACAUGAAACCGUAAGCCAUCAAGCAGUGGAAGGACGAUUCAACGUCUGACCGCGUGCCUGUUGAAGAAUGAGCCGGCGACUUAUAGGCAGUGGCAGGUUAAAGCAUGAUGUGCUGAAGCCAAAGCGAAAGCGAGUCUGAAUAGGGCGAUUAAGUCACUGUUUAUAGACCCGAACCCGGGUGAUCUAACCAUGUCCAGGAUGAAGCUUGGGUAACACCAAGUGGAGGUCCGAACCGACCGAUGUUGAAAAAUCGGCGGAUGAGGUGUGGUUAGGGGUGAAAUGCCAAUCGAACCCGGAGCUAGCUGGUUCUCCCCGAAAUGUUGUUUAGGCGCAGCGGUUGAGGUAAUAAUCUGGGGGUAAAGCACUGUUUCGGUGCGGGCUGCGAGAGCGGUACCAAAUCGAGACAAACUCUGAAUACCAGAUGCAUACUCAACCAGUGAGACGGUGGGGGAUAAGCUUCAUCGUCAAGAGGGAAACAGCCCAGACCACCAGCUAAGGCCCCCAAAUUGUCACUAAGUGAUAAAGGAGGUGGGAGUGCAAAGACAACCAGGAGGUUUGCCUAGAAGCAGCCAUCCUUAAAAGAGUGCGUAAUAGCUCACUGGUCAAGCGCUCCUGCGCCGAAAAUGAACGGGGCUAAGUGACAUGCCGAAGCUGUGGGAUAAGAAAUUAUCGGUAGGGGAGCGUUCCGCCAUAGAGUGAAGCACUAGCGGCAAGCAGGUGUGGAGGAAGCGGCAAGUGAGAAUGUCGGCUUGAGUAGCGCAAACAUUGGUGAGAAUCCAAUGCCCCGAAACCCUAAGGGUUCCUCCGGCAGGUUCGUCCGCGGAGGGUUAGUCAGGUCCUAAGGUGAGGCCAAACGGCGUAGUCGAUGGACAACGGGUUAACAUUCCCGUACUGAAGCUGAAUUGUGUAGAGGGACGGAGAAGGCAAGUGCCAGCCAGGUAUUGGUUGUCCUGGUUCAACUAGCUGAGGUGAUGAGAGGCGGUGAAAACGCCUUGAGCUAAGGCAGGAGUACGAGUCCCUACGGGGAUGAAGUGGUAUAGUCUAGCUUCCAAGAAAAGCUCUAAACACGCUAAUUCAGUUUUACCUGUACCCGAAACCGACACAGGUAGGGAGGUUGAGAAUACCGGGAAGGGACGCGCGCGAUAACUCUCUCUAAGGAACUCGGCAAAAUGGCCCCGUAACUUCGGAAGAAGGGGUGCCCACCUGAGACGUGGGUCGCAGUGAAGAGAUCCAGGCGACUGUUUACCAAAAACACAGGUCUCCGCAAAGUCGAAUGACGACGUAUGGGGGCUGACGCCUGCCCAGUGCCGGAAGGUUAAGGAAGUCGGUCAGCGCACUUCGGUGUGUAAAGCUGGCGACUGAAGCCCCGUUGCACGGCGGCCGUAACUAUAACGGUCCUAAGGUAGCGAAAUUCCUUGUCGGGUAAGUUCCGACCCGCACGAAAGGCGUAACGAUCUGGAUGGUGUCUCAGAUAGAGACUCGGCGAAAUAGGAAUGUCUGUGAAGAUACGGACUACCUGCACCUGGACAGAAAGACCCUAUGAAGCUUUACUGUAGCCUGGAAUUGGCUCCGGGCUUCGCUUGCGCAGGAUAGGUGGGAGGCAUUGAAAGCACCCUUGUGGGGGUGCUGGAGCCAACGGUGAGAUACCACUCUGGCGAAGCUAGGAUUCUAACCAGUAGCCGUUAGCCGGCACUGGAACAGUUUCAGGUGGGCAGUUUGACUGGGGCGGUCGCCUCCUAAAAGGUAACGGAGGCGCGCAAAGGUUCCCUCAGCACGGUUGGAAAUCGUGCCUUAUGAGUGUAAAGGCAUAAGGGAGCUUGACUGCAAGAGCAACAACUCAAGCAGGGACGAAAGUCGGCCUUAGUGAUCCGACGGCACUGAGUGGAAGGGCCGUCGCUCAACGGAUAAAAGUUACUCUAGGGAUAACAGGCUGAUCUCCUCCAAGAGUUCACAUCGACGAGGAGGUUUGGCACCUCGAUGUCCGCUCAUCGCAACCUGGGG